ensembl:lncRNA
CCAUGUGGUUGUCUGUUGUUCUGCAAACAGCUGAUAUCUCUUGUGUCUCCUGAACAGUGUGGAAGCUGGCUGAAGGAGGAGACUAAAUAGCACCAGUAGCAGGACACCUAAUGGACCUGAAGAGGUCUUCGGCUUCUAUUCAGGACUCUUACAGCAAAAUACGGCACAGGUCUCAGAGGCAAGACAAGGGAAGUACACAGACACCUCAGCAGUGCUGCCUGGAAAGACGUCACAAAUGGACAUCAGCUGGGAUUGCUGGGAUUGGAUUGAGGACAACCCCACCCCCUUAACAAUGCUUCUCCUGACUCACCCCCAGCAUUCAAAGACAUUUAAUAACCAGCUGUCUCUGUCAGACCAACAGAGACAAGGAAAAGGACAGGAAGAGGAAAUGAAACUUGUUAAAUUAAAGGAGCAAUGAUGGAGAAAAAACAAAGUGCAGCUAUCUCGAUUUGUUCUCACCCAGCAUUCACCUUGGGAAGGUGGAGAGUGAUAUGCAUCUCAAGGUUGAAUUGAGAUCUUCAUCUGGGGCAGCCACAGAGAAAAUCAGAGGUCUUGGAAUUUGAUGUCCCUAGGGUAGAAGACUCUGCUAGGCUCCUUGGCCUUGAGAGUUUGGAUGGAAAUGACCUUGAAGUGUUUCUCAAGAAGAGUCUUAAAGGAUCAAGAACAUCUUCAGUCAAGGUCCCAAAGUCAGAAUGUGGAUAUCUUCAAGGGACCAUUGCUCAGCUCUUCAUAGAAAGAAUAGGAACAGAAACUGAAUACCAGAUUUGCAGAGGCACUUGCCCCUGUCACUGCUCACUGCGGCCAUGAUCAACUCUACCGUGUUCUUCUGUAUCAUGGCUGAUGGUGAGCCCUUGUGCUUUAUGCGGUUUUCAGACAGAGUUCCAAAGACAGUAGAAAACUUUCGUGCUCUGAGCCAUGGAGAGAAAUGAUUUGGAUGGAAGGUUCCUCGUUUCACAAAUGGCUCCCUGUUUCAUUUGCACUACCAAGACUGAGUAGCUGGAUGGCAAACAUGUGGUCUUUGGAAGGUGAAAGAAGGCAUGAACAGCGUGGAAGCCAUGGAGUGUUUCGGGUCCAGGAAUGGCAAGACCAGCAAGAAGACCACUGCUUGCAACUAUGGACAAAUGUAAUAUUAGAUCUCCAGAAAAUUCAGGCUCCUCUUCACUGUAGAAGUUGGUCUGAUGUCCUCGUUUUUUGAUGGCCUUGAGACCUCUGUGGUGCACUGGUUAGGAUUUUUUAGGCUACUGCAAAGAUGGGAUUCCUGAAGAGGCUUUCUAAUGCUCUAAUGCUGUGGGUGAUUGAUGAAACAUCCUUGAAGUUAAGUGCAUUUUUAUCCCAUUGUGUCAAGGAUCAUAUUGUCAACAUGACUUACAACUACCUAGCCUUAACCUUGGUCAUUGGCUGAGCAGUAGGUGACAGUCUUCCCUACAACUAUGUCUUCCUCUCUCCAAUUUCCAUACCACAAAACUUGAGAAGAAGUCACUCUGCUUAUAUCAGGAUUUUGCUUCCUUUCUUUGGGGGAGUAGAGUAAUCUAUCCCCAUGCAUUAUUUGGAAUUGAGAAUUUUUUCAUCUGUGCUUAUCAAGAUUGGUCUGUGUCAGAGGUUUCUCCAAACGGAGGCCUAGAGUGGCCAUUGUGUGAAACUGUGAAGUUAAAGCUUGGCUUGUCCUGGAGACCCCAAGAUGUGGGAGAUGCCAGAGUCAUGGGAUAUCUGCCAAGGAGAGCUGCUAACAGGAAGUGGAACCAGCCCAAGAGAAAGAAGUGUGUUGCGGUCAACAAAGCUGAAUGGAGCUGGCGAUAUGAAGAAUGUUUUGACAUUACACACAGAGAUGCAAAGUUUGGAGUUUGCUCACCUGAUUUUCGUUCUUGCUUUGGUCCAGUAUUUCCUCACUAUGUUCCCUUCCAUAUGUUUUGGAAUGGUUAUGUAUAUCUUGUGCUAUUAAAUAUUGAAAUUAUGUGAUGUGCUUUUUUAGUUUUAAUAUUAUAUGUGAUUACAGUUAAGAAAUUGCAUGAAUCUCAAAGCAUUGGGCUUUUAUACAUUGUUGAAACUGUGAUAGACUUUGGGGAUUUUUGAAGUUGGACUGAAUGCAUUUUAUGAAAUGGCUACAAGCCUUUGGGGGCAGAGAGUAGAAUGUGGCCGUUUGAAAGAGAACAGUCCCCAAAGGGACUGCUAUCAUUA